UUGAACGCUGGCGGCGUGCCUAACACAUGCAAGUCGAGCGAGAUUAAUGUGAGUGGAGACUUCGGUCAAAGCAAUCAUUAUGAAAGCGGCGGACGGGUGAGUAACGCGUGAGCAAUCUGCCCCAUACAAAGGGAUACCCACUGGAAACGGUGAUUAAUACCUUAUGAGACCACAAUGCCGCAUGGCAUAGAGGUCAAAGAUUUAUCGGUAUGGGAUGAGCUCGCGUCUGAUUAGCUAGUUGGUGAGGUAAUGGCUCACCAAGGCGACGAUCAGUAGCCGACCUGAGAGGGUGAACGGCCACACUGGAACUGAGACACGGUCCAGACUCCUACGGGAGGCAGCAGUGGGGAAUAUUGCACAAUGGGCGCAAGCCUGAUGCAGCAACGCCGCGUGAAUGAUGAAGGCCUUCGGGUCGUAAAGCUCUGUCCAAAGGGAAGAAUACAGUGACGGUACCUUUGGAGGAAGCCCCGGCUAACUACGU
rnacentral:rRNA from 1 species